GUACUCGCUUCAGUAGCACAUAUACUAAAAUUGGAAUGAUACAGAGAUUAACGUGGCCCCUGAACAAGGAUGACACACAAAUUUGUGAAGCAUUCCAUAUUUUU